rnacentral:lncRNA from 1 species
GCUUCUAAUUUAAAUAAAGAUAAUUUUUGGUUUUGUUUUUACUGAUAUCAGUGAAAUCAUUUAGCAUGGAUUAAUUAAGUAAUUAUAAAUAAAGCAUCUAUAGUACUUAAUAUAUGACUUCUCUCUAAGAUACAACAAUAUACUUGAAGACUGAGCUGUAUCUAAAGUGAUGAUUACAUCAUGUCAUGAGAAAUAUUAAUAACUUGGGACAUGCAGAAAAUUUUGAAAGGAGCAUAGACCAGAGAGAGUGUAGUUCAGUUAGGAAAACAAAAGGCUCCUGAGACAGAGAAAUUUGUCUAAAUCCAGAGAGAUGAAGACGUUUGCCAGAUUAAGGCAUUCUAUUGGGGUAUUCCUUUUUUUUAUUCCUGGGUAAGAAAUUACCACACACAGAGCUGCUUUAGCGGCACUUUUCUAUUGUACCACUGUUCUGUAGGUUGGAAAUCUGGGCCGCCUAUGGGGGUUCUCUGUUUAAGGUUGGACAAUGUCAAGUGUUGUCUAGGCUGGUCUCUUCUUUGGAGACUUGGAAGAUGAAUCAGUUUUCAAACUCUUUUUUGUUGAGGUCUCCAUUCUUUUGCUGGUCAUCAGCCAAAAAUUGCUCACAACUCCUAGAGGCUGAUCUCUAAUCCAUGCACAUUGUCCCUCAACCUUUGAGCCAGCAGUGCUACAUUCAUUUUUUCUUCUACUUUGAAUAACUCUAACUGCCUAUACUACAUGCAGCCAGAAAAACUAUUCCUUUAAAGAUGUAUGCAAUUAGAAGCCAGGCAUGGUGGCUCAUGCCUGUAAUCCCAGCACUUUGGGAGGCCGAGACGGGAGGAUCACCUGAGGUUGGGAGUUCGAGUCCAGGCUGACCAACAUGGAGAAACCCCUCUCUAUUAAAAAUACAAAAUUAGCCAGGCAUGGUGGCACAUGCCUGUAAUCCUAGCUAUUCAGGAGGCUGAGGCAGGAGAAUUUAUUGAACCUGGGAGGUGGAGAUUGCAGUGAGCUGAGAUUGUGCCAUUGCACUCCCACCUGGGCAACAAGAGCAAAACUCUGUCUCAAAAAAAAAAAA